AGAUGUGAGGGUGACCUGGAUGCAACAUCCGUCACCCUACUGAUUGCUAGGGUUGAUUCGGCUGAUGUGGCUGGCUAGGUGGGUGUCUCUUCCCUCCCUCACUGCUUCAUGUGCAUUCCUCCCAAAGCUGCACACUUGGUCAAAGAGGACAACCACCCCAUAGAGGAGGACCAUUUCCUCGGUCAAGUAGCUGCGCUCCCCCUGCUAGAACCUCCACACAAGCUCUCUUUCCCAUUCCCUUAACAUAAAUAUCAUAUAAAGUAAUAUAUGUGUAUACAUAUAUUACAUGUAACAAGCUUAAGUAAUCAGUAACAGUU
rfam:Fukomys damarensis contig83246, whole genome shotgun sequence.